AUGAGAUUCUUUCAAUAUAUUUCUGCUGUGUUUCUUUCGGUUUUUUGGCUAUAUGCAGUUGGUAUUUUAUUGUGUAACUCCCUCUAUUUCUCUGCCCAUUCUAUUGUUUUAUAUCAGCUGAGAGGUGGAAAAUUGGGGGGAAAAGUAGACCGGUUUAAACAAUUGUGGCUAACUGGUUUGAUACUUUCUGAGGCAGCUUAUGUUUUCUUAUUUUUGAUGUUAUUUUGGGACCAUUUUGGACAGGUUUAG